GAUGAACGCUGGCGGCGUGCCUAAUACAUGCAAGUCGAGCGAAACUAAGGCUUGGUGAGUAACGCGUUGGUAACCUGCCCAUAAGUCUGGGAUACCAUUUGGAAACAGAUGCUAUUACAGGAUCCUCAUGCAUUUACCUGCGAUUCAUUAGCUAGUUGGUAAGGUAACGGCUUACCAAGGCAAUGAUGCAUAGCCGACCUGAGAGACUGAUCGGCCACACUGGAACUGAGACACGGUCCAGACUCCUACGGGAGGCAGCAGUGGGGAAUAUUGCACAAUGGGCGCAAGCCUGAUGCAGCCAUGCCGCGUGUAUGAAGAAGGCCUUCGGGUUGUAAAGUACUUUCAGCGAGGAGGCGUUACUCGCAGAAGAAGCACCGGCUAACUCCGUGCCAGCAGCCGCGGUAAUAC
rnacentral:rRNA from 1 species